AGCGAACGCUGGCGGCAGGCUUAACACAUGCAAGUCGAACGCAUCCUUCGGGGUGAGUGGCAGACGGGUGAGUAACACGUGGGAACGUGCCCUUCAGUUCGGAAUAACUCAGGGAAACUUGAGCUAAUACCGGAUACGCCCUUCGGGGGAAAGAUUUAUUGCUGAAGGAUCGGCCCGCGUCUGAUUAGCUAGUUGGUGGGGUAAUGGCCUACCAAGGCGACGAUCAGUAGCUGGUCUGAGAGGAUGAUCAGCCACACUGGGACUGAGACACGGCCCAGACUCCUACGGGAGGCAGCAGUGGGGAAUAUUGGACAAUGGGCGAAAGCCUGAUCCAGCCAUGCCGCGUGAGUGAUGAAGGCCUUAGGGUUGUAAAGCUCUUUUAUCCGGGAAGAUAAUGACUGUACCGGAAGAAUAAGCCCCGGCUAACUUCGUGCCAGCCGCCGCCGUAA
rnacentral:rRNA from 1 species